ACUCUUAUUUCCCUUUUGGAUGUAGUUCACAGAGAGAAAACACCUGAGUGGUUUGACUGAUGCCUCUAGAUGAUGGGCUUCAUUAUUUUAGAGGAGGCAUAAGAGAAGAGAGAUGUCCUGUGUAUGCUAAGAAACUUAGAAUUGUCUGUUGGAGAUUAAUCCAGGGGAAAAGGCAAGAAAAACAAUUUUAAUCUAUAUAGGAGGCAACAGAGAAGUUUCUGGGAUUCCAUUUUUCACAUCUUACAUCAUAACGAAUAAAUUAUCCAAGAUCAUGUCAGCUGCCCUUCUAAUCACCAUGCUAAAUUUGUUUUAUCAAGUUGCUUCUGAGAAGCCCAGAGAAAAUGGGCCGCACCUGCCUCAUAUGCAAGUUCCAAGGCUAGAGUUGAACUGGCCCUGCACCACAAGCCUAUGCCACAACCAUAGCAAUGCAGGAUCUUAGCCGCAUCUGCAAUCUAUGCCACAGCUCACAGCAAUGCCAGAUCCUUAACCUACUGAACAAGGCCAGGGAUUAAACCCGCAUCCUCAUGGAUACUAGUCAGGUUUGCUACUGUUGAGCCAUGAAAGGAACUCCAGAAUGGUCAUCACCAAAAAGUCUACAAAUAAUAAAUGCUGGAGAGAGUGUGUAGAAAAGGAUAUCCUCUUACAUGUUUGUGGGAAUGUACACUGGUGCCACCACUAUGGAAAACAGUAUGGAGGUACCUCAGAAAACUCAAUAUAGAACUAACGUAUGACCCAGCAAUCCCACUCCUGGGCAUAUAUCUGGACAAAACUUCCAUUUAAGAAGAUACAUGCACCCCUAUGUUCAUUGCGGCAGUAUUCACAAUAGCCAAGACGUGGAAUCAACCUAAAUGUCCAUUGACAGAUGAAUGCAUUAAGAUGCAGUACAUGUACACAAUGGACUACUACUCAGCCAUAAAAAGGAACAAAAUAAUGCCAUUUGCAGCAACAUGCUUGGAAAUAGAGACUCAUGCUAAGUAAGUCAGACAGAGAAAGACACAUACCAUAUGAUAUCACUUAUAUGUGGAAUCUAAUAUAUGACAAAAAUGAACCUAUCUACAUAAAAGAAACAAAAUUAUGGACAUGGAGAACAGACUUGUGGUUGUGGAGGGGGAGGGGAAAGGCAUGGGAUAUACUGCGAGUUUGCAGUUAGUAGAUGCAAACUAUUGCACUGGAAGUGGAUAACCAAUGAGAUCCUGCUGUAUAGCACAGAGAACUAUACCUACUGACUUGUGAUGGAACAUGACGGAGGAUAAUGUGAGAUAAAGAAUGUAUAUAUGUGUGUAUAUGUGUAUUCAUAAAUGUAUAUAUGUAUGACUGGGACAAUUCACUGUAUAGCAGAAAUUGACAGAACAUUGUAAAUCAACUAUAAUUUUAAAAAAUAUGUUUAGAUGAGAAAUGCUGGUGAAUAAAGCCUAAAGUUAUUAUUUGUAGAAUUUUUUUACAAAGUAUUUCAACUUUGAUUAUCUAUUAUAAUUUCUGAUUUUACAUUUCCUUGAUGUGCUCAUUUUAAUUUACCCAAAUCUUCUAGGAGCCAAACUGUAAUUAAAGUGACUAAUAGAU
rnacentral:lncRNA from 9 species